rfam:Vibrio sp. AND4 1103602000593, whole genome shotgun sequence.
UCAUCACCAUCAUCACCUAGCCUAGCCUUUCGGGAGAUGUACGCAUACCCGGGAGGUAGGAAACUCCCGGAGGUGAAAAUCAAAGUCAACAGAUUUCUAACCCUCGGGAGACUAACAUCUUUCGAGGGUUUUUUAGU